rnacentral:rRNA from 1 species
GACGGAGGGCGCAAGCGUUGUUCGGAAUUACUGGGCGUAAAGCGCGCGCAGGCGGGAAGGUAAGUCUGGAGUGAAAUUCCGGGGCUCAACUCCGGAGCUGCUUUGGAUACUGUCUUUCUAGGGACCGGUAGAGGCCGGUGGAAUUCCCGGUGUAGCGGUGGAAUGCGUAGAGAUCGGGAAGAACACCCGUGGCGAAGGCGGCCGGCUGGGCCGGAUCCGACGCUGAGGCGCGAAAGCUAGGGGAGCAAACGGG